CAAAUUAGAGCUUGUUAAGCAUUUUAGUUACAUUAAAAAGAAAAUUAGAUUAUAAUUUAGUUUGA
rnacentral:tRNA from 1 species